UACGUAGGGUGCAGGCGUUAAUCGGAAUUACUGGGCGUAAAGCGUGCGCAGGCGGCUCCUUAAGUCAGAUGUGAAAUCCCCGGGCUUAACCUGGGAACUGCGUUUGAAACUGGGGAGCUCGAGUGUGGAAGAGGGGGGUGGAAUUCCAGGUGUAGCAGUGAAAUGCGUAGAGAUCUGGAGGAACACCGAUGGCGAAGGCAGCCCCCUGGGCUAACACUGACGCUCAUGCACGAAGGCGUGGGGAGCAAACAGG
rnacentral:rRNA from 1 species